ACGAUUUUCUCAAAUUUCUAUGAAUUACAUCGCUUCAAAUUUUUAUAGUCCGCUGUCUUGGGAAAGGCUAUCAUCUGUGUGGUCCUGGCAAAGGUAAAUCUCAACUGUGGAUCCCUUGUGAUUUUCUGUGGCCUGGGACUGGGUAUUUCAAUGCGUGCAGUGAAUUUUCAAUAGUAAGGACUAAUUUUAAAUUAUCUUUGAAUUUUCAGGAGCAUACGCUUGCAUCAAUUAUAUGCCUUUAGUCAUUCUCAGCCUCCUCUUGAUCCUUUACGGCUUUGCCGAAAUAUUUUACCUACCCUCAGCUGUCUUCAUACCCUACGUUUAUUCGGUUUUUCGAUUGCCCUUUGAAAAAGGAACUUUUGCCUGCGAGGGAUUAUUUGCCCUUAUUUGGUUUCUCCUUGUGCCAUAUCCAUUGCGUGCAGCUUUCUUUGCUGUGAUGAUGAUGAUCGUAUAUUUUAAAUACGGUGGCUUGACAACUGACGUUUCCGCUUAGAAUGCUCAACCCUUAAACAAGAACAAUAGGAAUCGGAUUGUUGGCCUGAUAAUUUCUUGCAGUUCAUCAGUAUAAUUUCACGAAAUAAGAAAAUGCAAAAAAAGAGAUAAAUCUCAUUGUUUUGUGCAUGCAAUUGCUAUCUUAUUUAAUUUUUUUAAAUUUCUCUCAGAGCCUGAUAUUUUGGAAAUCUCUCAUCAUGACCCUUUUCUGGAUAGUUAAUUACCACUCUACUGCCUGCUCGAGCACUUUUGCUCAUUGUUAGAACCUGCAUAUAAAUUAAUUUCAAAUUUUGCAAAAAAUUUAAAAUUUCAGUGAUUGGCAACCAAAUCUUUGAAGAUCAGCUGAAUUUAAUGAACACAGUCGUCUACUUUGUUGUUGAAAUUUUUACUUUCACGCCAUUCCUCCAUACCCUAAUUGAAAGAGUCUUUGAAAUCCGGCUCAAAGCUAGGAUGCUUUCUACCUGACGUUCUCCACCCUAAUAGUAUUUUACCAGGCCAACCCACCAUUGCCUUCCCUCGCAUGCUCACCAAGACUACUCUUUAUCAUGUUCU